rnacentral:tRNA from 1 species
GGGGCUAUAGCUCAGCUGGGAGAGCGCCUGCCUUGCACGCAGGAGGUCAGCGGUUCGAUCCCGCUUAGCCCCA